UGCUGGGUUGGAUGAGUGGCGAACGGGUGAGUAACACGUGAGUAACCUGCCCCUUUCUUUGGGAUAACGGUCGGAAACGGCUGCUAAUACCGGGUAUUCACUGUCCUUCGCAUGGGGGGUGGUGGAAAGGUUUUUUCUGGUGGGGGAUGGGCUCGCGGCCUAUCAGCUUGUUGGUGGGGUGAUGGCUUACCAAGGCUUUGACGGGUAACCGGCCUGAGAGGGUGACCGGUCACAUUGGGACUGAGAUACGGCCCAGACUCCUACGGGAGGCAGCAGUGGGGAAUAUUGCACAAUGGGCGAAAGCCUGAUGCAGCGACGCCGCGUGAGGGAUGACGGCCUUCGGGUUGUAAACCUCUUUCGCUCAUGGUCAAGCCGCAACAGUGGUUGUGGUGGGGGUAGUGGGUAAAGAAGCACCGGCUAACUACGUGCCAGCAGCCGCGGUAAUACGUAGGGUGCGAGCGUUGUCCGGAAUUAUUGGGCGUAAAGGGCUUGUAGGCGGUUUGUCGCGUCUGCCGUGAAAUCCUCUGGCUUAACUGGGGGCGUGCGGUGGGUACGGGCAGGCUUGAGUGCGGUAGGGGAGACUGGAA
rnacentral:rRNA from 1 species